UACGUAGGGUGCGAGCGUUAAUCGGAAUUACUGGGCGUAAAGCGUGCGCAGGCGGUUUUGUAAGCCAGAUGUGAAAGCCCCGGGCUUAACCUGGGAACUGCAUUCGAGACUGCAUUGCUAGAGUAUGGGAGAGGGAAGUGGAAUUUCCGGUGUAGCGGUGAAAUGCGUAGAUAUCGGAAGGAACAUCAGUGGCGAAAGCGACUUCCUGGACCAAUACUGACGCUCAUGUGCGAAAGCGUGGGGAGCAAACAGG
rnacentral:rRNA from 1 species